rnacentral:lncRNA from 10 species
CGCCCGGCAGCCACACCCUCUGAGAAAGGAAUCAAAAGAAGGAGGAAGAAUAGAAUGAUUUGGAGGAAAAGAAGGAGAAAGUAGAGGAGUUGAAAAAAAGGAAGAAAAAGAAAAAUGCAGAAUCCUUUGUCAAUCCAACAGAACACAGCAAAAAAGCAAAGAAAGUGAAAGAUGUUCAUGGCAUGGAUGAAUGGAGAGGGCCACAAAGCAUGGUCCCUGUAUUUUUUGGCUCCUCCGCAAAUACUAAAGACUUGGACAAGGACAGCUCUCCUAUUGUAAUCAUGGCCAGAAAUGGGUUUACUCUGAAACUAAUGAAGAAGAUUAAUUCCUAGUAAAGUGUUCACAUGUUCAUACGCUUUUGUAAAAUUUGCUAAAGUAAGAUAUUCUUAUUGCAAUUGGGUAAUGCUAUUGUCAUCUUCUACCACGACUUCUCCUGCAUCAUACUCCUCCUCUGGCAGAAGGUCCCAGAGCAGCCAUGGAGAAGUGCUGGGUCCAGCAUAAUAUACUUACAUGGUUCACAGCCAACUCCAUGUAUAGUUAGAUUGGUUGCCACUGCAUAGUUUGCUUCCAGAAAAACUUCUACCAUCUCCUAUGACUGUUCAUCUUGCAUAUUACACAAAGGUGCCUACAAUUCCUACUUUCAGAACAUGUAAGCAGUGAAAGAUAAAUGAGGAAUGAGGCUUGAAAUACCUGGAAACAUAAUUUCAUCUUCCAAUAAUCAGAUAUCUAAAAUUGUGAGAGUUAGGCUUUUACUGAUUCUCAAUCAAAACAAAAGUUCUCUCCCACCAAAACAUGUACUCAAUAAUGGCCUAAAAUCUCAUAAUUUGUAUAUGAAAGAAACAUUAGAGAUUUUUCCAAAUUUGGCAACAAUGCUUAAAAUUUCAGGACAUUACCCAAAACAAGUUAUAAAGGCAGAAAGUUUCUAAGUAAUUGCAUUCUAUAAAGUUCAAUCAGACAUGCUUGAGGAAAGACUAAAUUACCUCACUACUGUCUUUAUUACAAAUAUUAUAAAAAUUGAUGUCUCAUGAAAAGUUGAUUGAUAGAUUACAGCCAAAAAAUGAAAAGAUGUAUUAGGGAGUUAAGUAAUUUUAUAUAUAUAUAUAUACACACACACACACACACACAUACAUAUAUAAUGUGUAUUACAUAUUAUAUAUGUGUAUAUAUACAAAUAUACAUAUAUAUGUAUGUAGAUAUACAUGUGUACUAUAUAUACACAUUAUAAUAUAAACAUUAUAUAUAAAUAUAUAUAAUUUUUCAGGAUUCUUCUAUUUGUGGUAUUUGUUAGCUUUUAAAAGUUAUACUUAGAUGUGAUUUCUUUCGCAUUCUAAAUAAACAUUUAUAUUUGUA